CGACAUAGAUCAUAAGAUUGUGUUGUUGUUAGACUGGUUUUAUGUGAUAGAUAUCUUCCUUGUCAUGUUAGCUACAAUUUGAAACCUUAAGAACACUUAAACAUCACCUGUACAGCAAGUUGUGGAAGCCCAAAACUAGCCAGUUGAUAUGUGUAAGACCUCAAAUUUUAUGGAAUGAAAGUAUUUAAUUUUCUUAUAAUUAUUAUUUUAUUUAGUAAAUGGUUAAAUUGAUAAAAGGUUAAAGUUAAGGAUGAUAUAUGAAAAUUUUGCAAAGUAAGUAAGUUGUCACAAAUAACCGGUGGUAAAAGUAUAGUAAUAUGCGUGGUUGUAUAGUAUCACACGUUAUUGAUUAUUGACGCUUACGUGAGAAGUCACUCAGUUUAUUUCAAAUAUUGCCACAGUAAUUGUUGCAUGGUAUCUCACGUUAUUUGAUUCAAUUAUUGUCAAUAUUUUAUAUAUUAUUAAAUCAAUAAUUGAGACGACAAAGUUAUUCAUAUUAUUAUUUGCGAUAUUGAAAAUGUCUAGAAGUUCUGUCAAGGAGAGGUUAGGUCAUCUAAUUGCAC
rnacentral:lncRNA from 1 species